rnacentral:rRNA from 1 species
ACGGAAGGCAGCAGUGGGGAGUAUUGCGCAAUGGGGGGAACCCUGACGCAGCAACGCCGCGUGAAGGAAGAAGGCCUUCGGGUUGUAAACUUUUGUCGCAAGGGAAGAAGGAAGUGACGGUACCUUGUGAGAAAGCCACGGCUAACUACGUGCCAGCAGCCGCGGUAAUACGUAGGUGGCGAGCGUUGUCCGGAUUUACUGGGUGUAAAGGGCGCGUAGGCGGGCUGUCAAGUCAGAUGUGAAAUGCCGGGGCUUAACUUCGGAGCUGCAUUUGAAACUGACAGUCUUGAGUAUCGGAGGGGAAAGCGGAAUUCCUGGUGUAGCGGUGAAAUGCGUAGAUAUCCGGAGGAACACCGGUGGCGAAGGCGGCUUUCUGGACGACAACUGACGCUGAGGCGCGAAAGUGUGGGGAGCAAACAGGAUUAGAUACCCUGGUA